CCGUAGCCCAAGAGAUCGGGAUAACACCUGGAAACAGAUGCUAAUACCGGAUAACAACAGAUGAUGCCUAUCAACUGUUUAAAAGAUGGUUCUGCUAUCACUCUUGGAUGGACCUGCGGUGCAUUAGCUAGUUGGUAGGGUAACGGCCUACCAAGGCGAUGAUGCAUAGCCGAGUUGAGAGACUGAUAGGCCACAUUGGGACUGAGACACGGCCCAAACUCCUACGGGAGGCAGCAGUC
rnacentral:rRNA from 1 species